GGGCUCGUAGUCUAAGUGAUAUCAUUUUGACGUCCAUGGCAGUGAUACUGGUUUGUUUCGCCAGAGGUGAAGGUUCAACUCCUUCUGAGCCCG
rnacentral:tRNA from 1 species